rnacentral:rRNA from 1 species
GGAGGGCAAGUCUGGUGCCAGCAGCCGCGGUAAUUCCAGCUCCAAUAGUGUAUAUUAAAGUUGCUGCGGUUAAAAUGCUCGUAGUUUGAUUUAUGCCGAGGGUGACCGGUCCACCCACGGGGUGAGUAUAUUGUUCGGCCUUUGCAUAUAUGUGAAUAGUGCUGCAGUGCUUGAAUGUGCUACAUACAUUGUUCACACAAUUUACUUUGAGGAAAUUGGAGUGUUUCGAGCAUGCAUACGCACCGAACACAUUAGCAUGGAAUAAUGAAUUCUGAUCGCUACUGUAUUCGAUUGGUUUUUAGAGCUGCGGUAAUGAACGAUAGGGAUAAGUGGUGGCAUUCGCAUUUAAUAGUCAGAGGUGAAAUUCUUGGAUUUGUUAAAGACGAACUGCUGCGAAAGCAUUUGCCAAUUAUGUUUUCAUUGAUCAAGAACUAAAGUUAGGGGAUCGAAGACGAUCAGAUACCGUCCUAGUCCUAACAAUAAACAAUGCCGACUAGGAGUUGAAGGCCGUCAAUUGUACGACUCCUCCAGUGUCUUAUGACAAACCAAAGUAUUUGGGUUCCGGGGGGAGUAUGGUCGCAAGGCUGAAACUUAAAGGAAUUGACGGAAGGGCACCACCAGGAGUGGAGCCUGCGGCUUAAUUUGACUCAACACGGGGAAACUUAUCAGGUCCCGACAUAAUAAGGAUUGACUAAUUGAUUGCUUGUUCUUGAUUAUAUGGGUGGUGGUGCAUGGCCGUUCUUAGUUGGUGGAGUGAUUUGUCUGGUUAAUUCCGUUAACGAACGAGACCUUGGUCUGCUAAACAAUUAUGCAUAACCUCGGUUAUGUAUACAAUUCCUUAGAGGGACGUUGUGCUUUUAGUACAAGGAAGUAUUAGGCAAUAACAGGUCUGUGAUGCCCUUAGAUGUUCUGGGCUGCACGCGCGUUACACUGAUUCAGCCACCGAGUUAAUGAUCGUGUUUGGAAGAGUAUCGUAAUCUACUUAAUCUGCAUCGUGAUGGGGAUAGACUAUUGGAAUUGUUAGACUUUAACGAGGAAUUCCUAAUAAGUGCGAGUCACCAGCUCGUGCUGAUUACGUCCCUGCCCUUUGUACACACCGCCCGUC